rnacentral:rRNA from 1 species
UUAACGAAGAAUUAGGGUUCGAUUUCGGAGAGGGAGCAUGAGAAACGGCUACCACAUCUAAGGAAGGCAGCAGGCGCGUAAAUUACCCAAUCCUGACUCAGGGAGGUAGUGACAAGAAAUAGCAAACCGGGAACCUCAUGGUUUCACGGUAUUGCAAUGAGAACAAUUUAAAACCCUUAGCGAGAAUCAAGUGGAGGACAAGUCUGGUGCCAGCACCCGCGGUAAUUCCAGCUCCACUAGCGUAUAUUAAAGUUGUUGCAGUUAAAAAGCUCGUAGUUGAACCUCUGUCUGGGGCUAGUUUUGGCUUUGGUCAGGCUAGUUCUAGGCAUCCGCCUACAAGACUUAGAGGGCAUUCAGUUGUUCACUAGGAGGAGUAGGCAUUUUACUUUGAAAAAAUUAGAGUGUUUAAGGCAGGCAAUCGCCCGCAUAUAUUAGCAUGGAAUAAUAGAAUAGGACACUUUUCCAUUUCGUUGGUUAUUGGAAUCGUGUAAUGAUUAAUAGGGACAGUUGUGGGCAUUUGUAUUUAAUUGUCAGAGGUGAAAUUCUUGGAUUUAUUAAAGACAAACUAACGCGAAAGCAUUUGCCAAGGAUGUUUUCAUUAAUCAAGAACGAAAGUUAGGGGAUCAAAGACGAUCAGAUACCGUCCUAGUCUUAACUAUAAACUAUUCCGACUCAAUGUUUGACUGGCUUAUAUAACCAGUUGAGCGUUGUAUGAGAAAUCAAAGUCUUUAGGUUCUGGGGGGAGUAUGGUUGCAAAGCUGAAACUUAAAGGAAUUGACGGAAGAGCACAACCAGGAGUGGAUUCUGCGGCUUAAUUUGACUCAACACGGGGAAACUUACCAGGUUAAAACAAUAGUGGGAUUGACAGUUUGAGAGCGCUUUCUUGAUUGGUUGGGUGGUGGUGCAUGGCCGUUCUUAGUUGGUGGAGUGAUUUGUCUGCUUAAUUGCGUUAACGAACGAGACCUUAACCUGCUUACUAGACUGGCGAUCAUCAAUCGUUAGCUCUUCUUAGAGGGACUUUGGUUGUUUUAACUCCAAGGAAGUUUGAGGCAAUAACAGGUCUGUGAUGCCCUUAGAUAUCCUGGGCCGCACGCGUCAUACAAUGACUAGUUCAGAAAGUUUUCUCCUGACCCGAAAGGGGAUGGGUAAUCUUGAUAAUACUAGUCGUGUUAGGGAUCGAUCUUUGCAAUUAUAGAUCUUGAACGAGGAAUUCCUAGUAAGUGCGGUUCAUCAGACCGUACUGAUUACGUCCCUGCUCUUUGUACACACCGCCCGUCGCUUCUACCGAGUGGGUGGUCCGGUGAGAUAAUUGAACUUCGCAGGUAACUGAGAGGAAAGAUUAUCAAACCUAUCCACCUCGAGGAAGAAGAAGUCGUAACAAGGUU